AAGUCGUAACAAGGUUUCCGUAGGUGAACCUGCGGAAGGAUCAUUAUUAUUUUUUUUUUGGGGAGAUGGGGGCUUGCAUCUUUUGGAUGUUUACUCCAUAAGUACGGCUUGAACCUGUCUUUCCAAUCAACCUUAUGUGCAUUUGUACUACCCAAUUUUUUGAAAUAUCUGGUUUAAUUUAGUGCUCAUAGAGCCUAAUUUAUUUUUUAAUAGAAAAUAACUUUUAACAACGGAUCUCUUGGUUCUG
rnacentral:misc_RNA from 1 species